GCAGUCUGUAGCUUGUCCUCGCGUGUCCCUGACCCCGGGGGACCGCGGCGCCUUGAAUGUGCUGUGUCACGGCAGAGCCGGGCUGUGUCGCCGUGACUCAGCGGGGCCGGUGGUUUCCUAACGCCCGGGGCUGAGGCAGCCUGGUCUGACCCAGCUGUACUCGCUUAGGUGACCAGCCUCACCUAGAUUUUGCCUCUGCACAAGGGUCAGCUCUUUCUUUGAGAAUGUUUCAGAAGAUCUGGGUCUAACCUUGAAACAGGUUCUGCGUUAGACCUGCAUCUUAGCAAUGUGAAUAUUGCAUCCCUAGAGAAGGACCUGGAAGAGCAAGACGGCCACGACCUGGGACCAGCAGGUCCCAGGUCGCUGGCCGGCUCUGCACCUGUCGCCAUCCCCGGCUCCCUGCCCAGAGCACCAUCGCUACACUCGCCAUCCUCCGCGUCCACCUCGCCGCUCAGUUCGCUGUCCCAGCCCCUCCCA
rnacentral:sRNA from 1 species